GAGUGAGAAUGGGAGUGAGGAUGAGACUGGAGGAUGGGAGGGAGAAGUAACAAAAAAGUGAAAACAAAAACUUGAAAAUGAAAACAAUUUCAAAUAUAUUUCAGUUUUUAGUUUUUGUUUUCACUUUUGUUACUCCUCCCUCUCAUCUGCCCUCUCAAUCCUAUCUCCACUCU
rnacentral:snoRNA from 1 species